GGGGCUAGCGUUAUUCGGAUUUAAUGGGCGUAAAGGAUGCGUAGGCAAGCCUGGGGCUACAUAUUAAAAUGCCAAGGGACACUUUGGAAGAUGUAUGUAAACCACUGGGGUAGGAGUUUAGCAGAGGUUGGGGGAAUUUUUGGGGGAGUGGUCCAAUGCGUCGAUCCUAAAAGGAAUACCGUAGGCGAAGGCAUCUUUCCGGGCUAGACUGACGUUGAGGCAUGAAGGUAUGGGGAUCAAACGGG
rnacentral:rRNA from 1 species